AACGAACGCUGGCGGCAUGCCUAACACAUGCAAGUCGAACGAAGCCUUCGGGCUUAGUGGCGCACGGGUGCGUAACGCGUGGGAAUCUGCCCUUGGGUUCGGAAUAACAGUUAGAAAUGACUGCUAAUACCGAAUGAUGUCUUCGGACCAAAGAUUUAUCGCCCAAGGAUGAGCCCGCGUCGGAUUAGCUAGUUGGUGAGGUAAAGGCUCACCAAGGCGACGAUCCGUAGCUGGUCUGAGAGGAUGAUCAGCCACACUGGGACUGAGACACGGCCCAGACUCCUACGGGAGGCAGCAGUGGGGAAUAUUGGACAAUGGGCGAAAGCCUGAUCCAGCAAUGCCGCGUGAGUGAUGAAGGCCUUAGGGUUGUAAAGCUCUUUUACCCGGGAUGAUUAUGACGGUACCCAAGGAAUAAGCUCCGGCUAACUCCGUGCCAGCAGCCGCGGUAAU
rnacentral:rRNA from 1 species